GACGAACGCUGGCGGCAUGCCUAACACAUGCAAGUCGAGCGAGUAGAUCCCUUCGGGGUGAAGCUAGCGGCGGACGGGUGAGUAACACGUGGGCAACCUGCCUCAUAGAGGGGAAUAGCCUUCCGAAAGGAAGAUUAAUACCGCAUAAGAUUGUAGCUUCGCAUGAAGCAGCAAUUAAAGGAGUAAUCCGCUAUGAGAUGGGCCCGCGGCGCAUUAGCUAGUUGGUGAGGUAACGGCUCACCAAGGCGACGAUGCGUAGCCGACCUGAGAGGGUGAUCGGCCACAUUGGGACUGAGACACGGCCCAGACCCCUACGGGAGGCAGCAGUGGGGAAUAUUGCACAAUGGGGGAAACCCUGAUGCAGCAACGCCGCGUGAGUGAUGAAGGUCUUCGGAUUGUAAAGCUCUGUCUUUGGGGACGAUAAUGACGGUACCCAAGGAGGAAGCCACGGCUAACUACGUGCCAGCCGCCGCAGUAA
rnacentral:rRNA from 1 species